GACGAACGCUGGCGGCGUGCCUAAUACAUGCAAGUAGAACGCUGAAGGAGGAGCUUGCUUCUCUGGAUGAGUUGCGAACGGGUGAGUAACGCGUAGGUAACCUGCCUGGUAGCGGGGGAUAACUAUUGGAAACGAUAGCUAAUACCGCAUAAGAGUAGAUGUCGCAUGACAUUUGCUUAAAAGGUGCAAUUGCAUCACUACCAGAUGGACCUGCGUUGCAUUAGCUAGUUGGUGAGGUAACGGCUCACCAAGGCAACGAUACAUAGCCGACCUGAGAGGGUGAUCGGCCACACUGGGACUGAGACACGGCCCAGACGCCUACGGGAGGCAGCAGUAGGGAAUCUUCGGCAAUGGACGGAAGUCUGACCGAGCAACGCCGCGUGAGUGAAGAAGGUUUUCGGAUCGUAAAGCUCUGUUGUAAGAGAAGAACGAGUGUGAGAGUGGAAAGUUCACACUGUGACGGUAUCUUACCAGAAAGGGACGGCUAACUACGUG
rnacentral:rRNA from 1 species